UACGUAGGGACCAAGCGUUGUUCGGAUUUACUGGGCGUAAAGGGCGCGUAGGCGGCAAUUCAAGUCAUCUGUGAAAUCUCCGGGCUUAACUCGGAACGGUCAGAUGAUACUGCUUUGCUAGAGUGCGGAAGGGGCAAUCGGAAUUCUCGGUGUAGCGGUGAAAUGCGUAGAUAUCGAGAGGAACACCUGAGGUGAAGACGGGUUGCUGGGCCGACACUGACGCUGAGUGCGCGAAAGCCAGGGGAGCAAACAGG
rnacentral:rRNA from 1 species